rnacentral:rRNA from 1 species
AUACGUAGGGGGCGAGCGUUGUCCGGAUUUACUGGGCGUAAAGGGUGAGUAGGCGGUUGCAUAUGUCAGAUGUAAAAGGCACAGGCUCAACUUGUGUUAGCAUUUGAAACUGUGCGACUUGAGUGCAGGAGAGGUAAGUGGAAUUCCUAGUGUAGCGGUGAAAUGCGUAGAUAUUAGGAGGAACACCAGUGGCGAAGGCGACUUGCUGGGCCGUAACUGACGCUGAGGCGCGAAAGCGGUGGGGAGC